rfam:Aurantimonas sp. 22II-16-19i contig32, whole genome shotgun sequence.
UGCAUAGAGAUCGCGAUCUCUUCACGAGGCCCCGGCCGAAGCAUCGCCUCCAAUGAUCCACUCGUGGAAGCUCGGUG